CGGACAUGACUUGUCUCGUUUUACUUUUUGUAAUGCAGAAAAAGCAAAACAGAUCUCUUCUAUCAAGUCCAAUUCCUGUUGCCUGCAGUACCCCUUGUCGCCCAUCAGAAAACACCGUUGUGAUGUCCUGCCAUUCCCUGCCCCCACAAAGUGCCAGUACCAGUCAGCUUACUUACAUCAGAUUCACAAAUAAUCAGCCAACACCGCCCCAGCUGUCAGCACCCUCUGCCAUCCCAGACCUGGAAAG